rnacentral:rRNA from 1 species
CCUACGGGUGGCAGCAGUGAGGAAUAUUGGUCAAUGGACGAGAGUCUGAACCAGCCAAGUAGCGUGAAGGAUGACUGCCCUAUGGGUUGUAAACUUCUUUUAUAUGGGAAUAAAAUGUUCCACGUGUGGGAUUUUGUAUGUACCAUAUGAAUAAGGAUCGGCUAACUCCGUGCCAGCAGCCGCGGUAAUACGGGGGAUCCGAGCGUUAUCCGGAUUUAUUGGGUUUAAAGGGAGCGUAGGUGGAUUGUUAAGUCAGUUGUGAAAGUUUGCGGCUCAACCGUAAAAUUGCAGUUGAAACUGGCAGUCUUGAGUACAGUAGAGGUGGGCGGAAGUCGUGGUGUAGCGGUGAAAUGCUUAGAUAUCACGAAGAACUCCGAUUGCGAAGGCAGUUCACUGGACUGCAACUGACACUGAGGCUCGAAAGUGUGGGUAUCAAACAGGAUUAGAUACCCCUGUAGUC